ensembl:misc_RNA 7SK 7SK RNA
AGAUGUGAGGACAACCUGACUGCAACAUGCAUCACCAUCACUCCAUUUAUCACCAAGGUUGAGGGCUGAUGUGGCUGGCUAGGUUGUUUCCUUCCUCCCUCAUCGCGCUAUGUACCUACCCUCUGACGCUGUCCUGGGUCAAAGAGUUCGACCUUCACAGAAUAGAGACUGACCAGGGCAGGAUAUAUAUCCGUAGCUGCACUCCCCUACUAGAACCUCCAAACAAGCUCUCAAGGUCCAAAGUGGUCUAUGCUAUGAGGGCAGAAACUUUCAAAUGCUGGGAGGCAUGAGAAUUGCCUGCGG